ensembl:lncRNA
AUGUUUGGGAAAGCUGAGCCCGCCGGGUAGUAGUUCUUUGAUUAUGUUCCUGCUUUUUGCCUUUUUGAUUAAUUUGCUGUUUGUCUUCAGAUAAAAUAUCUGAAAGGGAAGAGCUAAGGACAGACCUGGGUGGGAUUUAAGUAGAUACUGGAGCUUCCUUUUAACCAUUCUAGUGAUUCUCAACUUUGACUGCACCUGGAAUACGAAAAGAGUUCAAAACCACGCCUGAGUGUGUUUGCACCUGUGUGCACCAUCAUGAGACUCUACUUAAUUGGUCUGGGUUAAGACCUGAGCCUCAGGAUCCUGUUAGGCAACCAAGUUGAGAAUCUCUGGCAUCUCCAACUUGAGCCGGGCUUACCCCUGAGGACUAUGAAAUCAACAGAAUUGAAAUAUAUCAUAGUUUGCUGAUGAUAUUUUGAGAAGUUCAACAACCUGGAUGUCCUACCAAUAUCCUAUUGAUACUUCCCUGGCUGCUGAAGCCCAGGACCUUUAAUUCAGAAACAGGGAAAACAACUGAAGCCUUCGGAGAUGGGCAUUGACUUGAACAAAUAAUUCAACCAGAGGAAUAUUAACAAGUUUUUGACUGUGCGGAUCACAAUAAACUGUGGAAAAUUCUUAAAGAGAUGGGAAUACCAG